AUGGAUCAAAAUAUGGUGUAUAUUUUAGAAAUUAAAGAGAGGGUAUGCUUAAAACAGGGCCAAAUUAUCACGGUGAAAGUGUAUAAGUGUUCUAUAUCUAGAAGUUCAAUGCUUGCUGGUUUAUGUCAGCGGGCGUCACUCAUUUCGCGGGAUGAGGCUCCAAUGAACAUAUAUGGUCUAAGAUUAAGCUGGCUCUGUGUAAGAAUUGCAUCACCAGCACACAUCUCUCACUUUAUCACCAUGGUGAACACGAGUGAAUUACUAUUACAAUGUAUGAGCGUCGGUAAGUCCAUGUAUAGCUGCCGCUUCACCACUCAUCAUGUGUUGGCCAAUGAUCAGAGGUACAGCAAAACCAGCAAAUAA
rnacentral:rRNA from 1 species